rnacentral:rRNA from 1 species
UCGAGCGGUAACGGGAAGAAGCUUGCUUCUUUGCCGACGAGCGGCGGACGGGUGAGUAAUGCUUGGGAACAUGCCUAGAGGUGGGGGACAACAGUUGGAAACGACUGCUAAUACCGCAUAAUGUCUACGGACCAAAGGGGGGGCUCUUCGGACCUCUUGCCUUUAGAUUGGCCCAAGUGAGAUUAGCUUGAUGGUGGGGUAAAGGCCUACCAUGGCGACGAUCUCUAGCUGGUUUGAGAGGAUGAUCAGCCACACUGGGACUGAGACACGGCCCAGACUCCUACGGGAGGCAGCAGUGGGGAAUAUUGCACAAUGGGGGAAACCCUGAUGCAGCCAUGCCGCGUGUGUGAAGAAGGCCUUCGGGUUGUAAAGCACUUUCAGUAAGGAGGAAAGGGUGCAGGUUAAUACCCUGUGUCUGUGACGUUACUUACAGAAGAAGCACCGGCUAACUCCGUGCCAGCAGCCGCGGUAAUACGGAGGGUGCGAGCGUUAAUCGGAAUUACUGGGCGUAAAGCGUGCGUAGGCGGAUUGUUAAGCGAGAUGUGAAAUCCCGGGGCUCAACCUCGGAACUGCAUUUCGAACUGGCAGUCUAGAGUAUUGUAGAGGGUGGUGGAAUUUCCAGUGUAGCGGUGAAAUGCGUAGAG